rnacentral:rRNA from 1 species
UCUAUGAGAGCGGCGAACGGGUGAGUAAUACGUUGGUAUCUGCCUCAAAGUCAGGGAUAGCUCAUCGAAAGAUGAAUUAAUACCGGAUAGUCUCUAAGGAGUAAAAAUUUAUUGCUUUGAGAGGAGCCUACGUUCUAUCAGCUUGUUGGUAAGGUAAAAGCUUACCAAGGCUAUGACGGAUAAUUGGUCUGAGAGGAUGACCAGUCACAAUGGAACUGAGACACGGUCCAUACUCC